rnacentral:rRNA from 1 species
GAUGAACGCUGGCGGCGUGCCUAAUACAUGCAAGUCGAGCGAACGGACGAGGAGCUUGCUUCUCUGAUGUUAGCGGCGGACGGGUGAGUAACACGUGGAUAACCUACCUAUAAGACUGGGAUAACUUCGGGAAACCGGAGCUAAUACCGGAUAAUAUUUUGAACCGCAUGGUUCAAAAGUGAAAGACGGUCUUGCUGUCACUUAUAGAUGGAUCCGCGCUGCAUUAGCUAGUUGGUAAGGUAACGGCUUACCAAGGCAACGAUGCAUAGCCGACCUGAGCGGGUGAUCGGCCACACUGGAACUGAGACACGUCCCAGACUCCUACGGGAGGCAGCAGUAGGGAAUCUUCCGCAAUGGGCGAAAGCCUGACGGAGCAACGCCGCGUGAGUGAUGAAGGUCUUCGGAUCGUAAAACUCUGUUAUUAGGGAAGAACAUAUGUGUAAGUAACUGUGCACAUCUUGACGGUACCUAAUCAGAAAGCCACGGCUAACUACGUG